AAGCCGAAUAAAAGCCGGACUUUAAUUUUGCUUUCUUGACCGAUCGUGGUGUGACGUCACUAGAGAUGCGCCGCGGACUGUUCAUCAAACCGAGGAAGUUAGUGGGGUGUUCCGCAAGCAGGUUAGCUAAUCGAGUCAGAAAUUCUGGGCUGGGAAUGGUUGAAGAGAGUGAAGAUGUCAGUUAGGCCGAAUCAUGCAAGCUGAAUGAUGAAGAGGCUGAAGAACAAAGAGACCUGAUGAAAUUGUAAAAGGAAUGUCAAGCACAGAAUGAAAAGGAGGAGAAUCAGGAAGCUUCCAAUUCCAUAACUGGAGAAAACUCAUUUAGUGGUUCACAAAUUAAGGAGGGUUUCUCUUAAGAAAGCACAGAAGCCAAAAAUGCUUUUUCAUGCCACCAUUGUGGAAAGACUUUUGCACAAAAAGGACACCUGAAGUAUCACAUAAGAAUUCCUACUGGUGAAAGACCUUACAAGUGCCCUCAAAAAAAUGUACACACCGUAAGGAACAUUUAGGAACUCACACUGGUGAAAAGCCUUUCACAUGCCCACAAGGUGAAAAAGAGUUUCAUACGGAAAGGAAACCUUAAUAUUCACAUGAAAAAUCACCAGAGAGAGGCCUUACACAUGCCCUCAGUGUGGGAAGAGAUACACAUCUAAAGGACACCUUAAGAACACAUAGGAACUCACACUGGUGAGAGGCCUUUUGCAUGUUCUCAAUGUGGAAAGUUUUUUACAUGUACAGGAAGCCUCAAAUUUCACCUGCAGUUUCACUCUGGAGAAAGGCCAAUUGGCUGUGACGAGUGUGGUGUAACUGCUGAAAAGACACCUGAGGAUGCAUUUAAACAAGCAGCCUUAUUUGUGCUCUGUUUGUGGGAAGAGUUUUCUAUUUCUUGACUAUUUUAAACAGCACCAGAAAAUACAUAUCAGUGUGAAGUCUCAUGUGUGCUUUGAGUGUGGAAAUUCCUUCAUGAGAGCCAGAGACUUGGAGCGGCAUGAAAGAAUCCAAACUGGAGAAAAACCCCUGCUCACAGUGUGGAAAGUGUUUCACUGAGUCUAGGAACCUGGUAAAACAUGAAAGAGUGCACACUGGAGAAAAGCCGUACCACUGCCUUUCAUGUGGGAGGAGUUUUAGACAAUCAUGUAGUCUACUGACUCAUGUAGAAAAGCACUGUCCACAAGUGGUUACAGUGUCCAACCUUCAGGCUUCGGUUCCAAGCAAUUUGUGUGAAAUUUAGAUCAACUUGAUGAUGGAAUAUGUCCAACAGAAGUAGGAAUAAGGUCUGUUCGCACCAAGACAGAUGUUCAGUGCAAUAAACAUUUCAAUUUGAAUGCACUUAAUGCAUCUGUUUAGACCAAUGUGAACAUUAGCAUGCAGUCCAUGCAACAAUUUUUAAUGACAGGUGUUGUAGUCUGUUUUCCAUUGCGCUGUGAAGAAAACCAGCCAACCAUUAAGAACUGCACUUUUGGUCACAUGCCCAGAGCCACUGUUGUUACAUGAAACCACUAAUUGGUAAUUUUGCUAAUUGAUGGUAAAUAGCAGAGAAAGAAUGCGGAACUAGUUCUAUUAUCUCUGUACACUUUUAUUUGGUUUUGUUUGAUAAAACUAUAGUGCAUACAAACGAGUGAAAUAAUGCUUCAAAACUGUAUAUACUAUUGGACCUUUGUUUUCCAUGUCAAGUUUCAUGUUCCAAUUGUGCACCAGGGAAAUCUGUAUUUUUGCUUCUCUAUUAGCAUUAGUUUCAGUUCAAUGUACAUAAUUGUCCAAAUAAAAGACAAUUCAUGAAAUGUG